AAAAAUUGUCUAUUUCUUUGGACCCACAUUUACAUUUUUACAAAUCAUAUAUAAUUUCCAUUAUUAGUAAAAUUAAAAAAAUAAAUAUAAAAAUACACAUAGCUAAUCAACUAGCAUGUCCAUGCAGUCACAGCAUAAAGGGGACGUUCAUGCCAACAUAUCAUCAAACUUGUUUUCUCACUGACAAUCUUGUAACCCUUGCCAAACCCAUCAACCAUUUGUUUGGUAUCCUCAUUAAAAUUAUACCACAACCGGAUUGGCUUAAACCCUGCUUGUCCUAACCUAAUUGCCCACUUUCCAUACCUCUCAUGUCUUUCAAAUCUUUCCAAUCCUUCACAUGCUACAAUAUUUUCAAUCUCUCUCCCAAACAUUUCCUCUAAAAUCAUCCUUCCUUCACCACCCAAAUUCCUUGAAGUGGCAUCAAUUGAAUCAAACACUGCACUAUAAUAAUGUAAUCCCUCAACGAAUCGAUCAACUAAUCUAUCUAAAUUAUGGUUUACUUCUUGUUCUACUAAAAAUAAUAAUUUAGGUGACAUUGAUCUAAUCAUUGUUAAGAAAUUACUCAAUGGUUUACAACUUUUAACACUAUUAAAUUUAGUACCUCCAAAAUGUACAUCUACUUGAUCAUCUUCUGCCAAUAAUACAUGAAGAUUUAAUAUGGAUACGAAAGCUAAUGCCUCUCCUGAUCUUACCUUAAGCAUGUCACCUGAUAGUUCUCUUAAGCCUAUGCUCAGAGGAUUAAAUUGAAAGGGCAUGUCUAAGCUUUCAGCUUCUUUUACUAGGCUUUGGCCCAACUUAUCCAGAAUAGCUCUGUUGCUAUUUAGACAAGUGAUCUUCAAAUGUGGAGGCCCAUCUGGCAAGUGAGCUAAGCUAUGGAGAAAAGGAACCCACAAUUUUGGGUCGCCAGAGCUCAAAUCUACAAUGUGAAUUACAUGCUCAUUUGCCAUGGCUUGAACUAAGGUUCGAGUUAUAACCAUAUAGGCAAAACAAAGGAAAGGAAAUGCUCUUGCAAAGAGAGUCUUGGCUUGGUCUACAUCUAUUCUAGGCUUUUGAUGAUGGUUUAGGGCCUUGUAUAGGCCCGGCCAACGCUUAACAACUCGGGUGGCUAGAGCAGAGGCAAAUUGGGCAGCUAGUCGCUGCAUGGAGUCACCAGACAUUGAUGAGAGCUCCGAUAUCUCUGAGAGACAUGCGUCAGCCCGAUGAAAGUUGCCGGAGGAAGCAUGUUUAGCACCUUUUAGGAGGAGUUGAAUGAGACGAAUACCUCUUUCUUCAGGCUUUAGGAUUUCAUGAUCAUGAGCAGGGGAAGGUGAUAAUGCAAGGGAUAAGGUCACGUCUGGCUUUAACAAAGGUUUCAAGGAACUCAUCUAGGCUUAUGCUAUUUUUGGAGAGGCUUCUUCUAAAGAUUUUGGCGAUGCUUUGAGACUUAUAGUGGAAUCAAUUUUGGAGGGGGAGCAGGUAACAGUGA
rnacentral:misc_RNA from 1 species